AGUGAACAAUAGGUCUUGUAGAUAGAGCACCUGUAGUGAACAAUAGGUCAUUGUAGAUAAAGCACCUGUAGUGAGCAAUAGUGAGUGAGUGAGUUUGGUUUUACGCCGCUUUUAGCA